GAUGGGUCCACCCAACACCGUCUUCGGGUUUGUUCCCACACCAAGACCUUCACGUGAUACAUCUACCGCACCUAGAUGAGAUGCAAGAUGCAAGUGCAUGAAUAUGCGGAAUAGUGACACAACAUGCAUCACAUAAAAGUAUGCAAGACACAGACAUCUAAAGUUAUUUAGCUAACAUCACACGACCAAUUAUAUAGAGCAAGCAUAUCAAUCAUAACACAAGUUUAACAGGGUUACAAGUGUAUUACUUAACCACCACUAAAGACAUGAAUCAUACUUAGCUCACACAAAGUAAAGCAAUCAAGCAUUCAUGUAUUUCAGCAAUUAUGGACAUACAUGCAACAACUCUGUAAAUAAAUCAUAACUGGAGUUACACAUCUCCAAAAACUAUGCAAUAGGACAUUCUGGAAAUAUUAUCAAAUUAUCUACAAUUCAUGUUUAAUCACAUUAGCAUGAUUAGCAAGUUAACCAAGUCAAACAUGCAUGACCAUAUAAUCUGGUCCAGGAAUUUCCAGAGAACAAGCAUUUCAAUGGAUGAACUUCAUACUACUGUAACUCAUAAACCACUUAGCCAAAUGAUAUGCAACUUUACCACAAGAUAUGUUCAUAAAUUAUCUACAUAUUUUAUAUAGACAAGUUGCACAAGAAACAUCAUUUAUAUCAUGAAAUUAGUUGCACAAUCAAAACUGCUCAUGCUGCCCAAACAGUAGGGGCACAAUUACACACAGAAAACUGAUAGGCAAUUCAAAGCAGCAUAACUGGAGUUGUAGACCUCCAGCCAACAUGAUUCUUAUAUUUUUGGAAAGCUUAUAAAGUUACCUACAACUUUCUUAUUAUCAUCUAAAUAGGAAUCUAGAGUUAACAAGGUCAAUUAAUCCCAUGAAGAUAUCUCUGUCCAAAACACAGACAGAAUCUGUCAUGCUACAUUAAACACCCAUAACAUGAGUUUCACAUGUCCAUAAAUUAUGGUUAUAUACUUUAUAGAAACCUUAUCUAAUUGUUAACAACUUUGUUAUAAACAUGUACAGCUAAAUCUACAACUAAAAAGGUCUUACAUUACAAACAAUGCAACCCUGUCUGGGUUUAGACAGAAACUGGAACAGUAAUUUAAACCACUAUAACUAAACAUGUGCUUAACCAAAAAUUAUGCUAUUUAUCUUUUUGGAAAGCUUAUGAAAAUUACUAAAACUUAUAUAUUUUCAUCCAGGCAAGAUUCACAACUUAACUGAGCCAAACAAUACAAACAUGCAGAUCCACUCAGAAUAGGAGCAAAGGAACACAGGGUACUUGUUAUUUUUAUAACUCUUAAUAUAUUAUUCCUAAAUUCAUAAAACUUUUACCAGUCAUCAAAUAUCAUAUGAAAAGCAUGUCACAAUAUUUUCACAUUUAUUUGGGCAACAACACAGCAUUUAUGAAAAAGACAAAUAUAACAAGGAAUUAAAAACUAACUGCAUAAAUCUAUUUUUACGACUAAAACUUCAAACUAAACCAUGCCAUAUUAUAGAUCCACUGCAUAGAGAAUUUCAUAAGGAUUCCAAAAAGUCCACAUUUGCUAUUUUACGAUUUCUCUACAGUUUAUUAUAAUUUUCCAAACUUCAGUCAUAUGAAAGAAAAACAGAUUUGCACAGAGACCCUUGAGAUAUCCGCAAAACAAACUACAACAAAGAGGUCCCUGCAGGUACUAUUCACAUGAGUCACAGCUUCGCAGAACGACCCCUUAUCUUCUUAGAAUUGUUGCAGCAGGUCCCUGACGGGAGAGAAAGCAGAGCAUCGACGGGGAGCUCGCCGUGGACGGCCGGAGGAGGCACUCCGGCGGCGAGAUAAGGGCUAGCGAGGGUGGAGGCAACCCUUGCGCACCCGAUGACGGCCCUGGCUCGACCCACGGCCGCUCGAGGCCAGUAGGCCAUGGAGGCAGUGGCCCGCACCAUGGCAGCUCCGGCCACCUAGGUCUGCAAGCGACGACACGACUCAGGAGGCAGCGCAGGGGAGGAAGCAUGGUGUUCGGAGGUCGAUGGUGACGCCGGCUGAGAUGGAUGAGGCUCCAAGAGGCAAGAACGCCGACGGCAAGGAGCUUCGUCGGACGUCCAUGGUGGACGCGGCCACACUUGCGCGCCCGAGUGGCAAUGGCAAGGGUGAGCGCCUGAGAGGGAGGGCGAGUGAAUGGGAGUGGAGAGGAGCUCGGUCGCAG
rnacentral:lncRNA from 1 species